AGCGCCGCAGGGCGCCUCCUCUCAUUGCUGCAAAGACCCUCCCCCUCCUCCACGACACCAACUGUUCGGAGGGCGUCCGCAGCCGUUUGAAUAGCCCGGGCGGCGGCGCUGAUUGGACUGCGGCCGCAUCACGUGACACGCCGGGCGAGCGGAGGCGGGGGAGAAGGCCACUCAGGGCUGGCUUAGCAGGAGCAGGGGCGGGGCUUUUCCGACUGCUCCCUCGGUGAAGGGAUGCGCCCUGCUAGGGCUGCGCACGCUCCGCAGGAUUCCUGAGGACCUCCGCGGCUGGUGGCCGGCCCAACCCAGAACAAGGACCCACCUACAACAUCCCUGACAGCUCCCCGCCCACCCGCCCCCCAGCCAAUGCCGUUCGUCCCAGCCCCCGGGGUUACCGUGUUUUGUAGUCUUCUCUGCAUCCAGGCUGUCCCCAAAGACUCGGUGCUCCCUGCCUGGGGUCCGCACCCCAAGGACCCCGCGGCCCUUCCGUCUGCCUUGUGCCGAACCCCCGCAAGUGAAAAGGGUCUCCCCUUUAGAGCUCCCAGCAGCAAAGACCGUGUCUGCUGGUAUACGGAGGGCUUAACCGCGGGGCUGAGAAGAAGUCAGUGUCCCAGCAAGGAACGCCCCGCUCUUCCGUGGUCCCAGCCCACGAGCCAUGAUGUAUCGCGCCCAUCAGCACACUUACACGGACAGCACUUGAAGGGUUCUCGGUAAAUAGUAUCGAUGGAAAACCCUUCGGAGACGUUCAUUCAGUACUGAGCCUCGUCGGGCUCUGUGCCGGGCGGAAUCAUUCCUAGUGGAGGAAGCCCAGUCAGGGAGAGAGCGGGGAAGGGCGCCCAGCCGGGAAGGGUCCGAGGCAGCCUUUGCUCGCUUCGCCUCCUCCCGGCUGCUUCUAGAAUCAUCUCUUCUUAAAUGACUCGUUCACCCUCCUCCAAAUGUCUGCCGCUUGGGCUGGGCGACCCUUGGGCGCACGGAAAGGGAUGAACGGGCGCCGCUGUCGCUGCUGGUCCUCAGGGUCGCCACCGUGCCCUGUCUUCACUCUCCUGAACAAACCCCCAGAGGCCUCCUGCCAAACUGACCCUGGACCGCCCGCAGGUGCUGCCGGGGUCACUGUUCUAGUGCUCCAUCUUUCCCACCCAAAGAGCUCAGAUAUUUCACUAAGCAUCAGAGAUUUAGAGGUGAAAGAACCUCAGAGGCCAUCUAGUCAAAUAUUCCAUUUUACUGAUGAGAUAACUGAGUCCAAGAGAUCCUCUGCCCAACCUCACAUAGCCAAGGACUCAUCAGCAUGGCAACCAUCUUGUCGAGAGCAUGAGUCAUAUGCUGCAAGUGUGAAAAGGGAUUUAUCUGCCAUAGUACUGUAA
rnacentral:lncRNA from 1 species